rnacentral:rRNA from 1 species
UCAGCCUACGGGAGGCAGCAGUGAGGAAUAUUGGUCAAUGGGCGAGAGCCUGAACCAGCCAAGUCGCGUGAGGGAAGACGGUCCUACGGAUUGUAAACCUCUUUUGCCGGGGAGCAACGGGGUCCUUGCGAGGGCCCGAUGAGAGUACCCGGAGAAAAAGCAUCGGCUAACUCCGUGCCAGCAGCCGCGGCAAUACGGAGGAUGCGAGCGUUAUCCGGAUUUAUUGGGUUUAAAGGUUGCGUAGGCGGGCUGUUAAGUCAGCGGCCAAAUGUCGGGGCUCAACCCCGGCCUGCCG